GGCCGUAGCUUAGUGGGUAGAGCAUCUGCUUUGCAUGCAGAAGGUCCCAGGUUCAAUCGCCAACAUCUCCAGGUAGGGCUG